rnacentral:lncRNA from 1 species
AAGUCAGCUACCUGCUUAGCAAGAUGUGUGGGCAGAAAUUCAUCCCGAAAGUGACGUGGACAGACAGUCCUCCGAUCUAUGGUCUCUAAAGUGCCUUUGCAAUACUGCAAUUAUUAUUUUCAGGAGGGCUCUUUCCCCCACAGCUAUGAUGAAGAUUCAGUUCAUAAUGUGUUCAACGUGUCAACAUCCCACAGGAACUGGAGGCCGAGUAUGAUUCCAAAUGGAAGCAGCCCUCAUUCAAAGCGGACAACCAGAUCUGCUGUCUCCCAGUCAGGGGAAACUUUUGCCAAACACAGGCCGUCUCUAAUUCCCUUUUAAAUUGUAGUCAAUGUUUUCACCCUGAACUCCAGAAUUGUAUAAUUAUACCUUAUAACAUAUGGCACACAAAGCUCCACGAGAAGGCAUCCCCAUCAAAAUUUAUAAGGCAGAGUUUGCAUCUCUGAUUUUAAAUGGGCUUAACUGCUCGAAUUAGAGUAGGUUUUCUAUUCCUGGGAGAGAGGAGAGUGUUCAGGAAUUCCAAGAACAAUCAGGGCAUUCCCGUAUGUCAGUUCCAGGUAGUGUCUGACCCAGCUGGCUGUCCUGGAAGACAGUUCACCAAAAGCAGUGAGGGACUUGCAGACAAUGUGGAGUGAACCUGAUGAGGUCAAUCCAAUGGAAGGAGCAAGAACAGAACAGAAAGGCUGCAUUUGGGGCCUUUUUAUAAGAAUGCUUUAAUCCUAGCUUCUACUGAUUGAAUAACCUUAGUGAGGUAGUUCUGCUUGGUAUGGAAUUAACCUCUUUUUACAUCGUAUACAUACAUAAGAGCAAAUUAUUAAAUAUAUCCUUAGUACACACAGACAACAAAGAGGCAGAAUCCACUAGGUGAGAACUACCCUGCCUCAGUCUUAAGUUCCAUCAUUCAUUAAUAACAGAAAAAUAAAUGAUGGGGGUAUUCUAUUAGCCGCACAGUCUGAAUCUGAUUGAUCCAUCCACCUGGUAGUCCUGGAGGGACCAGGAGUCUUGAUCCAACUAUUAGUUACAUUCUCCAUUGCAGCUAAAUGAGAGAUUGGAAACGGCUACCAGGCCCUAUAUUACCUUCCAAUGCCCAGCCAUUUAGGUCAGAGGUGGCAACCAUGGGAACAAGUGGGAAUCCUGUCUCACCACAGCUCAGAUUCUACAUGGUACUAUUUCUCCUGCAGCAUGUAAGCAGUGUUUCCAAUAAGCAUCUUUAGAGCUCUUAUUAAGCGGACAGCAGAGUUCAAGCCAGGGAAAGGAUAGCACUCCAACCAAAAAACAACAUCUCAGCAAAUUAACAAAAUAAUUUAUCUAACAUCCACCCCUCCCAGAGAAAACUGUGUUGAAGGGAUUCAAACAUAAAGUGGCCUGCCUGACACUCUCAGUUACAGAUUCUUUUGAUGGGUAAAUGUACAGGGCUUGAUUCUUUGCCUAAAGCUCUUUCUAUCAAGUAUGAUUAGCUAAAUUCAAGAGAGAUGCUGCUUUUAGUGUGGUCAAUAGAAGCCCGGAAAGGAGGAAUAUUUCAGAAGAACAUAUAAGCGAAUGCCUAGCACAGGCCCUGAAUAAAUGCCUGCUGGAUCAGACUCUGAGUCUCAUACAAGGCCAAGCUGAGGAACAAUUUGCAGGUCGAUUCAAGUGCAAUACUGUUUCCUGAUGGGCUCCAGAGAGACAGGACACAUUAGGUGGAUUGCUAAAGAGCCCUAGCAACUCAGUACCAUGUCACACUAAAAGACUUCCAGCAAGAGAGCUAAGAACGUUAACGACCAUGCCUACUUGAGCCUCUGCGGACAUGUCUCAUCCUAGCUGCUUGGAUGGGUAAUUCCAUCGUACACUCUUGAUGAAUCUCCUUCCCUUAGUCAGAUCCUGCCUCUUCCACACCAUCGCUAUGUCUCAUACCUGCAGUAAGGAGGGAGUUGUCACUUCUCAACCUCAUUCACCAGACUGGUGACUCCCAGGGAACUUUCUAAAAAUGGGGAGGUGACCAGCCUCCCAGCAGCCUUCCAUGAGGGCACAGUUCUGUGGGCUCCUGGAUUGUUUAUAGACAUACCU